GCCUCUUUAGCUCAGUUGGUAGAGCAGGGGACUGACAAUCCCCGUGUCGUUGGUUCGAUUCCGACAGGAGGCA
rnacentral:tRNA from 1 species